GAUAUCGUCUUGACACUGUAGGCUUCAUGAUUAUAAGAGUUGGUCCCGAUACCCCAUAUGAUGUGACCCUAAUUUUUGUUCCAAAUAAGUCCUUAAGUAGUUUAUCCUUGCAGUCAGCUCCGGCUUAAGCAUGCUCUACGUAGGGGACCGAUGAAAAUAAGUGAAUGAUCAUAAAAAAUUCUGCUUUGUCCUUUAGUUGUAUGAAAAUUCCGGACUAGGUGACUCUCAC
rnacentral:lncRNA from 1 species